GGGUUGUGAGGUUAAGCGACUAAGCGUACACGGUGGAUGCCCUGGCAGUCAGAGGCGAUGAAGGACGUGCUAAUCUGCGAUAAGCGCCGGUAAGGUGAUAUGAACCGUUAUAACCGGCGAUUUCCGAAUGGGGAAACCCAGUGUGACUCGUCACACUAUCAUUAACUGAAUCCAUAGGUUAAUGAGGCGAACCGGGGGAACUGAAACAUCUAAGUACCCCGAGGAAAAGAAAUCAACCGAGAUUCCCCCAGUAGCGGCGAGCGAACGGGGAGGAGCCCAGAGCCUGAAUCAGCAUGUGUGUUAGUGGAAGCGUCUGGAAAGGCGCGCGAUACAGGGUGACAGCCCCGUACACAAAAGCGCAUGUGCUGUGAGCUCGAUGAGUAGGGCGGGACACGUGGUAUCCUGUCUGAAUAUGGGGGGACCAUCCUCCAAGGCUAAAUACUCCUGACUGACCGAUAGUGAACCAGUACCGUGAGGGAAAGGCGAAAAGAACCCCGGCGAGGGGAGUGAAAAAGAACCUGAAACCGUGUACGUACAAGCAGUGGGAGCACAGGUUUACCUGUGUGACUGCGUACCUUUUGUAUAAUGGGUCAGCGACUUAUAUUCUGUAGCAAGGUUAACCGAAUAGGGGAGCCGGAGGGAAACCGAGUCUUAACCGGGCGUUAAGUUGCAGGGUAUAGACCCGAAACCCGUUGAUCUAGCCAUGGGCAGGUUGAAGGUUGGGUAACACUAACUGGAGGACCGAACCGACUAAUGUUGAAAAAUUAGCGGAUGACCUGUGGCUGGGGGUGAAAGGCCAAUCAAACCGGGAGAUAGCUGGUUCUCCCCGAAAGCUAUUUAGGUAGCGCCUCGUGAAUUCAUCUCCGGGGGUAGAGCACUGUUUCGGCUAGGGGGCCAUCCCGGCUUACCAACCCGAUGCAAACUGCGAAUACCGGAGAAUGUUAUCACGGGAGACACACGGCGGGUGCUAACGUCCGUCGUGAAGAGGGAAACAACCCAGACCGCCAGCUAAGGUCCCAAAGUCAUGGUUAAGUGGGAAACGAUGUGGGAAGGCCCAGACAGCCAGGAUGUUGGCUUAGAAGCAGCCAUCAUUUAAAGAAAGCGUAAUAGCUCACUGGUCGAGUCGGCCUGCGCGGAAGAUGUAACGGGGCUAAACCAUGCACCGAAGCUGCGGCAGCGAACGUAUCACUUAAAGCGAUUCAGCGGGUUACGAUUGACGGAGCGAAGCGACGUCAAAGCGUAUACAAAGUCGAGUCGGUUUAAGGAUACGUUCGUUGGGUAGGGGAGCGUUCUGUAAGCCUG
rnacentral:rRNA from 1 species